rnacentral:rRNA from 1 species
AUGGAAAAGACCAUUCCUGAGGUAUAUUCGAUGCUGAAAUCAGCGGAGGUGGAGAUCAGAAAAGAACAUCAAGUGUUGAUGGUGAAUAAAACCACUAAGUUCAAGAAGGGCAAGGGUAAGAAGAACUUCAAGAAGGACGGCAAGGGAGUUGCCGCGCCCGGUAAGCCAGUUACUGGGAAGAAGCCAAGGAAUGGACCCAAGCCUGAGACUGAGUGCUUUUAUUGCAAGGGAAGUGGUCACUGGAAGCGGAACUGCCCCAAAUACUUAGCGGACAAGAAGGCCGGCAACACCAAAGGAACUGCGGAAUAA